rnacentral:rRNA from 1 species
GUGAGGAAUUUUCCGCAAUGGGCGAAAGCCUGACGGAGCAAUGCCGCGUGAAGGAUGAAGGCCUAUGGGUUGUAAACUUCUUUUCUUAGAGAAGAAUAUUGACGGUAUCUGAGGAAUAAGCAUCGGCUAACUCUGUGCCAGCAGCCGCGGUAAGACAGAGGAUGCAAGCGUUAUCCGGAAUGAUUGGGCGUAAAGCGUCUGUAGGUGGCUUCAAAAGUCUCCUGUGAAAGAUCAGGGCCUAACCAUGGACCGGCAGGAGAAACUGUGGGGCUAGAGUACGGUGGGGGCAGAGGGAAUACGCGGUGGAGCGGUGAAAUGCGUAGAGAUCGGGAAGAACACCGAAGGCGAAAGCAGUCUGCGGGGCCACAACUGACACUGAGGGACGAAAGCGAGGGGAGCAAAAGGGAUUAGAUACCCGUGUAGUCC